rnacentral:rRNA from 1 species
GACGAACGCUGGCGGCGUGCCUAAUACAUGCAAGUUGAGCGCUGAAGGUUGGUACUUGUACCAACUGGAUGAGCAGCGAACGGGUGAGUAACGCGUGGGGAAUCUGCCUUUGAGCGGGGGACAACAUUUGGAAACGAAUGCUAAUACCGCAUAAAAACUUUAAACACAAGUUUUAAGUUUGAAAGAUGCAAUUGCAUCACUCAAAGAUGAUCCCGCGUUGUAUUAGCUAGUUGGUGAGGUAAAGGCUCACCAAGGCGAUGAUACAUAGCCGACCUGAGAGGGUGAUCGGCCACAUUGGGACUGAGACACGGCCCAAACUCCUACGGGAGGCAGCAGUGGGGAAUCUUCGGCAAUGGACGAAAGUCUGACCGAGCAACGCCGCGUGAGUGAAGAAGGUUUUCGGAUCGUAAAACUCUGUUGGUAGAGAAGAACGUUGGUGAGAGUGGAAAGCUCAUCAAGUGACGGUAACUACCCAGAAAGGGACGGCUAACUACGUG